AAGCCCAGGAGCUGAGCAGGGGCAGCCUGGGCAUGAAUAGCAAGUGCCUCCUCUCCCCCUGCUCCCUGCCCUCCACUCAGAGGUUACUGCCUCUUUGGAGUGGCACUUCCACCCGCCUGCGGCCACCCUCCUUUGGGCAGGAAUCCCAUCAGAUUUUACAAGCCAGGCCGCGUCAGUUCUGGUGAGCAUGUGAAUGGAAAUGCCCAGGACAACAGGCACUUUCCCUUGGGAGAAGGGGGAGCCAAGUCACGAGCUGGCUGUCCCAAGGCACCAACAGGAAAGCACCAGCAGCAGACCCCAGAGAGCCGGACAAUGGAGAACACCGCCACUGGGACUAGCCGGAACUUCCAAAGACCGUCUUCAGAGAAACACUUCAGUUCUGAUGACUUUCAUGUCACUUCGUGUUGGAGUGCCAGGAAGCAAGGGAGCAAGUAAUGACAAGAAAGUGAGGAAUCGGCAAGUCAAGUCACUGACGACAUGAUUCACUCACAGGUUGGCCGCCCCACGAGACGUGGCUUCUGCGUGGAGAGACCCAUCCCACCUUGAAGAUGCCGUGAGCUCCUGGGUUGUGAUUCCUCGUUAUUUCUACAAUUUAAGGGAAAGGAAACCAGCAUCUCUGAAGCUCUCCUCUGUGCCAGGUAACAUGCCAAACUUUCAUCAUCUGUCAUCACUUUUAAUCCUUACAACACCCGACUCACCUUGCCAGAGAGGCAGCAGGGAGACCUCUCUUAUCUCUGGAUCUACACACACAGGUUUAUGUGAAUUGCAAUCAAUAUUUGCAAUCAAUAUUUACUGCACAAAGAGAAGCAGACAUGGAAGCCAUAGUCCUGGUCACCAGCUUUCCCAAAUGACCUGUCUCCUGGCUCAUAUUCAACGGAGGGCCAUUCCCUCUUCCAAGAAAACAUCAGCUAAACCCAGGGGGCAGGAAAGAGAGAGAGAGAGAAGCCAAAAUGCGAGGAUCAUUGUUUCCUAGCCUGAGGGAUGAAGAUGUUGAAGCUCUGUCUUUGUUUUUGGUUUUAGGAUUAGUAUUUUAUUUUUGUUUGUGUGUCAAUUAAAUGAGUGCCCGAGACAGAAGUCAUCUCUGCAAUAGGCAGGUCAUGCUCUGAUAAAAAUGGGCACAUGGAAGAAUUCAAAGUCAUGCAUCCCAAGGUGAUUCUGCUGCUCUCUAGAGGGUCAGCAGCCGCUCAGCCUGGCUCCCCCUCCCCUCACUGUCUUCAUUAUUGACUCUCCUCCUGGCAAUGGGCCUGGUGUCCCACUGGGGCCAGCAUGGAGGGAGGGUGUCUGUGCAGAGCACCUCUGUCAAAAUGUGCAGAGUCACGUGGAGGCAGAGAAAAGAAGAGGUAGAGAAGGAGGAGGAGGGGUGGAAAGAGGGACCAAAAAGAAAGUGGUAGGAAGACAGGGAGGAGGGAAGGAUGGUAUGAUGCUGAGGGAGGGUCACAAGGAAAGAGAAGAGAGGAGAGGAGGUGAGGGGAGGGGAGAGGAGAGAGAGGAGACAAAGGAGACCAACCGUUGAUGGUGCCGAGGUCCCCCAACAGGCCAGGCAUGGAUAUCAAGAUAAGGGAGAGGCAGUUAGAAGAAAGGGAGCAGAGGAACAGUGGAGGACAGCUAUGGUUCUGGAAGAUAAAGGCAAGCUCCUCAGAAACUUUAGAAGGCAAAUUAGUGACGAUGGAGAAGGAGAAGGGCCAUGAUUGAGUGCAUGUCACAGGCUCUGUCUCAAUUCGUUGUCGCUGUAGCCCCACCUGGUAGGGAAAGUGAGACACAGGAAAGUUUGAAAUCACACUGCACAGAACUAGAGUCGGAAGUCACUGCACACUCAUUGCUACCCCACCCAAAGCAUCCAACCAAUGCAAGCCUGGCUCUUUGGAGGUGCCAUGUCUCAGCCCUCCUGCCCACCCUGCCCAAUGAGCCAGGCUUUCUGCCUUGGGCCAGGUGGAACUGUCACGAAAGGUGGUAGGAAUGAAUCCUCUAAGGAGCUCACUUCCCAUCGUCUUCCCAAAGCUCUUACCGUCUCCAUGUAAAUGAAGACCCGGAUGAGAAAGCACAGCAAGCAAGCCACAGGCACACGGUGCUGGUUCUCAUGGACUCCUGAGCUGCCCAUUGCCGUCUAGUCAAGGCGGCAGGCACUGCUGGUCAGUGUUCUGCCCGGUUUUGGUGCUCAGCUCAGGAAGUCAUUCUAUGUAAGUUGGGGAGCCCCUUUGCCCAUGCAAGGAGAUGAGGUUGCUUCUCAGCUUCCUCAUUUUAUUGAAUACCUACUUAGUAUCCAGCAUAGUCUAAUUUAAAACUCAGGAGUUCCUUCGGAGGUACUCAAAUGUUGUCCUUUACACUUUAAAGUGAGACAUGAAUCCUUGGAAAGUCCAAAUCACGUUCCUGGGAGGUGGUCAUCCAGAUGCAGUGUCCCCCCACCACCUUUUGCUAAGUGGGCAAAGCACUAUAGAUAAAGAACUGUUUUAUUUGCUAAGCAGAUUCUAGAGGAGGGAAACAGAGAAGAAUUUUGUUCUUCCUGACCACUCUCCAUGAACAGGCCUCACUAAGAGGCUCUUUCUCUACCCUUGGGAGAGGAGACUCAGAUUGGUUCCAUAACUUUUCAAGGUAUUCCAGGAUCAUAAGCCUUCCAGUGACUUUGGUUUUCAAAAGCACUCAUAUUUGAAUAAUUUAAACAUCCUGUCUAGGAUAAUAAUCAACAGGAGAGCAGAGUCCAGUGUAGAACUCUCUCCACCUGUAGUUCAGGCCUGUGCUAUAGGAGCAGGGGAGCAGGGACAAGGUACCAUCUGGCAUCAGGCAAAGGGACUUUAGUCAUAUCAUUUCUAUACCAGUGGAAAUCAACACAAGCCUCACAGGGAAGGCACACGCUGAGCCCACCAAGGGACAUCCUUGAAGCCACUCUAAUUGAUUGAGGCCUCUAGUAUUAUGCCAGCAGUCUCUUAGCAUGUUCUGUACAAUGGCACCUGGCUUCAAGAUCUACAGGGGUUUAUUCCCACCCAACACGAAGACUGAAGCUGCCGCUUCUACACCUCUCCCAGAAGCAGUGAGAAUACAGAAGAGGUCAGCUUUGUGAAUAUUAUAUGCAUAACUGUAACACUGAGCUAUUAUCCAUUUGGCAAGGGUUUCUUUAUUCUACUAAAUUGAAAUCAGAGCUCAUGACCUGGCAUGAGAGCUGGCAUAUACCUUCAAAGAAAAAUGCACAUAUGGGUCACUCCAUAAAAUAUCUGCUCAGAACUCAGAGAACCCAGCUAGUUUUCUCACUAACUCUCAGGAGGGGAAGCAGGCAUUCCUGUGCUCGUUCCAACACUGUUCAGGGAAAAGAGUAUUCUAGCCAAUGGUCCCACUCCCAGAGCUAGCCACAUGAGGGGCGGGGAUGGCGGGAUGCAUCUGUCAAGCAUCAAGCAUCUUAGCUGAAGAAGGUACCUUCAAAUCACCCAACCAACCACCCUUGCUCCCAUGUCAUGCUCGGAAAGUGGCCCUCUGAUUAUUUACCCACAGAAAAACCUUCAAGGAGCACAAUGAUGUGUUUUAUUCUGCUUUGUCAGCUUAGGUAAGCUGGAACUCGAUUUCCCAGAAUCUCCUUCACUAUAUGUAGGGUUCCAGAAAAAAAAUGCCACCAAAAGAGGAACUUGCAGGGGCUGUGGCAAGCCAAGGUGAAGCAGAAGCUGUCACAUUCAGCCAGAUCAUAUAUGAUGGCUGACAGGCACAGAGAGAGGUGCCCCAGUUCCCCGCUGUGCUCUCUGUCCUUGGCUCAGCAACCAACUCAUGUUCUGCAACGUCGUGGUCCAGGCUCGCUGCAGAUGUCUGGCUGCAGACCCAGAGGAGGUGGCCGCGCGAAGGCAAGAGCCACCUCACCCACCACACCCACAGCACGUGUAAGGCUGAGGCAGCCGGCCAGAGAACACAGAGUGUCACGACUGGAGAAAAAUCGUAAAAUUCCAAAGUUAUGACAGCACAAGGGAAAAAGCCAUUCUGUAGGAGAGCCUCGCCUGCAGGAAACACUCUCCCUGAGGACUUGGAGGAAACAGGCUUCACAAAGACAACAACAGGCAGAAUGUUCACUGCCCUCGAAAUUCACAUGUCGAAAUCCUAAUCCCCACUGAGAUGGUAUGGAGAAGGGACACCUCUGGGAAGGGAUUAGGCCACGAGGGUGGAGCCCACAGAAUGGGAUGUGUGCCCUUAUGAGACCCCAGAGAUUCCCUGCCUCUUCAGCCAUGUGAGGGCGCGGCAAGGAGGCGCCAUCUAUGAAUGGGAAAGGGACCUCUCAACAGUCACCAAAUCUGCUGGUGUCUUAAUCUUGGACUUCCCAGUCUUCAGAUCUGUCAGAAAUAAGUUUCUGUUGCUCAUAAUCCACCUUAUAUAUGGUUUUUUGGCUAUAGAAACCCAAAGGCACUGCCAGGUGCUGUGGUGCACACCCGUAAUCCCAGCAACCCAGGAGGCUAAGGCUGGGGGAUUGCAGGCUCAAAAUCAGUCUCAGCAACUUGGUGAAGCCCUAAGCAACUUAGAGAGACCCUGUCUUGAAAUAAAAAAAUAAAAAGGGUUACGGAUGUAGCUCAGGGGUUAAGUACCCCAGGUUCAAUCCCCAGUACCCCAAACCAAAAAACUCAAAUGGACCAAGACAAAUACUAUUCAUUCCUGAUCUAGUUUUUAGAGUAAAUUGUGAGCAGAGGUAUUAAGUUAGUAAUGAAGAUCCUAACAUAAAGUUGGUAUAGUCUGCAAGUAAUAGCAACUAUGAGCCCACAGAAAAGGGUCAACCAACUCCACACAACCAAGAUGAAAACCUGCACACCUGUAUAACUUCUAAACACCUAGCCUUACCUGAUUAAGGCUUUUUACCAAGGCCUUACUAAGGAGGAAUUCAGAAAACAGUAAUUGAACCCCAUUUUUAAAAACUAUGCAUGUGUCUACUAUAGUAUAGUGAUUGGAUGCAUGAUUUCUGGGGCAGCUUUCCUGAGUCCAAAUCCUGAUUCUGCUAUGUCUGAGCUGAGGGGGUAGCUCAGAUGCUCCCUGCCUGUUUCCUCAUCUCUAAGAUGAUGAUAAUUAUGGGACAGAUCUCAGAGGGAUGUUUUGAAGAUAAUGAAAUAAAAAUUACAGGAGCCCAUUGUUUUGUACCAAACCCCUGCAUUGGACCCCAAGAGACCAGACUCCAAAUCAAAGUGGAGUCACUCAUAUUAAAAGUUCCAUGUCACCAGGAUGAAACUAAGUUGUGUUCUGACCUUCAGAGAAGUCAGGAGCGAUAGGGCCAAGUUUCCCAACUACCAUUUUCUGCCUUCAUCUUUACAAAAAAGUAAACUGAUGUUCACCAAUCAGUGAUUUUUCUAUUGUCCUCUCCCUGACUCCACCUUACAAGGAAAGUAUCUUUAAAAUAGCUGAUCUGUGGUUUGUUCUUUCUUUCUUUUUUUUUUUUCAGACUUUCUCUAUAAAACCAACCUCUUGUACUUAGCUCACCAGAAUAUUUAUUCUGUUUUGUGGAUUGGAAUAUUACUUGAUUGUAGAAUCACAAAUAAAGCCAAUUAAGAUCUUAAAA